AAUAAAAGGCAACAUGAAUCUAAGAAGCACCCAGAGUAUUUCCUCUUCCUCUUGAUCUUCUUGUGUUACUGGCAGCUGUAAAACACAUUGACAUCAACAACUGUGCUGGAGUUUGGAGCAGCGAUAUGAAAAUAAUUUAUGUGUAAAUGUGCACAACUAACAUGUUUGCAUAAUUGUGAAUUUCUUUAAAGUGAAAUGAUGAACUCCAGACUCUCAUCUCUGAUCCUGCUGUUACACAUUCAAGUGUCUCUAACAUUGAACAGCUUUACUGUGACCUGUGAUAAACAGAAUAUUUGUGCUGUAAGAGGGACACAGGUGAAAGUGAAGUGCUUUUAUUUCAACAUCAAAACUGGAUUCUGGUUCGGCCAAAAACAGAAAUCAAACUGGAGUAACAAAGAUGAACCUGAAGAUUUGACUUUAGAUUCAGAUUACUCAGGACGAGUGAAACAGUGGAUCACAAACACUGAAUCAGAGCUCAUAAUAGAUGAUCUGAUAGAGAGAGACAGUGGAGAAUAUCAGCUCAUGAUCAUUAUGAAGGAUGGAGUUAAACAUCUCAGCUCAGUCACAGUCAAUCUAACAGUCACAGGUACAUUUACAUUCUCAUCAGUCCAGUUCAACUCUUUUCAUUUCUCAUCUAAUGUAAGGUUUUGAUUAUUUAGU